GUGUAGAGAGAGAAGAAGGAAGAACGACGAAGGAAGAAGGAAGAAGUUUACUGUGUAAGAGAGAAGAAGGAAGAAUGACGAAGGAAGAAGGAAGAAGAGAAAAAGAGAGAAGAGAGAAGAAGGAAGAAUGACUAAGGAAGAAGGAAGAAGAAAAAAAGAGAGAAGAGAGAAGAGAGAAGAAGGAAGAAGGAAGAGAAGAAAAUAGGGCUCGGCUCAUAGCCAUUAGGGUUUAUAGAGAGAAGAAGGAAGAAGAAAAUAGUUUUCACAAACCCUAAUGGAAGGGGCCCUAAUUGAUUUUUAGAGAGAGAAGGAAGAACUCUAAUGGAAGAGGCCCUAAUUGAUUUUCAGAGAGAGAAAAGGAAGAUAGGAUGCUCAUUUAAGAAGAUGGGAUGUUGAUUUGUGAUAGUUUGAAGAUGGCUUUUUUCUCUAAUUUGGCAUAGUUUGAAGAUAACUUUUUUUUUUCUUGAGGAAACAGAGUUGAAGGAUUAAGUUUGGGGAACUAAUCCUAUAUGUACAAUUGCUUGCUCCUGUAUAUUUACAGUUUAU
rnacentral:lncRNA from 1 species